GAAGACCGUUAGACGGUAAGCCACCUGGUGACCUUCGACUCCAUGUUCACUUCGGUCUCUAGUCAGGACCAUCACGGUGGGACCAUGAUACUUGGUUAGCAAAAAAAAAAAUAAGGAAUAAUUUUUUUUUUUUUACUAUUCUUUUAUUUUUGUAAAAAAAUAAAAAACAAAGUUAUUCAUUGUUAAUAAUAGAAUAUAACAAUUAUUACUUUUAUUCUUGUAAUUUUAUUCUUAUACAUUUUUUUCAUAUUUGUUCCUUUUGUUUCC
rnacentral:lncRNA from 1 species